UACGGUAGGUGGCAAGCGUUGUCCGGAAUUAUUGGGCGUAAAGCGCGCGCAGGCGGUCCUUUAAGUCUGAUGUGAAAGCCCACGGCUCAACCGUGGAGGGUCAUUGGAAACUGGGGGACUUGAGUGCAGAAGAGGAAAGCGGAAUUCCACGUGUAGCGGUGAAAUGCGUAGAGAUGUGGAGGAACACCAGUGGCGAAGGCGGCUUCUGGUCUGUAACUGACGCUGAGGCGCGAAAGCGUGGGGAGCAAACAGG
rnacentral:rRNA from 1 species